rnacentral:rRNA from 1 species
ACGGGAGGCAGCAGUGGGGAAUUUUGGACAAUGGGCGCAAGCCUGAUCCAGCUAUUCCGCGUGUGGGAUGAAGGCCCUCGGGUUGUAAACCACUUUUGUAGAGAACGAAAAGACAUCUUCGAAUAAAGGAUGUUGCUGACGGUACUCUAAGAAUAAGCACCGGCUAACUACGUGCCAGCAGCCGCGGUAAUACGUAGGGUGCGAGCGUUAAUCGGAAUUACUGGGCGUAAAGGGUGCGCAGGCGGUUGAGUAAGACAGAUGUGAAAUCCCCGAGCUUAACUCGGGAAUGGCAUAUGUGACUGCUCGACUAGAGUGUGUCAGAGGGAGGUGGAAUUCCACGUGUAGCAGCGAAAUGCGUAGAUAUGUGGAAGAACACCGAUGGCGAAGGCAGCCUCCUAGGACAUAACUGACGCUCAGGCACGAAAGCGUGGGGAGCAAACAGGAUUAGAUACCCUGGUAGUCCACGCCCUAAACGAUGUUAACUAGUUGUUGGGAUGUAACAAUCUCAGUAAC